AUAAAUAUAAAUAUAAAUUGUGAGAAUUCGAAGUACUUCCUAUGAAUGCUUGAUUGUUAUGAGGAUAUAAUGUUAACGUGAUAUCGUGUUUUUUGACAAAAAUGAUGUACGUAUAUAAAUUUAUAUUCUUAGAAGAAAGAGGAAAUAUGUCAAAAUAGUAUUGUCUAAUAUGUCAUUGCGCUAGUGCAUAAUUCGGAAC
rnacentral:lncRNA from 1 species